ensembl:lncRNA
AUGCCUACAGCCCAGCUGACAGAGCUUGCCGGUCUCCAGGUGGAGCUUGGCCGGAUCCGUCAGCUCGUCAGCCUCUGGGAGUUCCAGCUGGACACCCUAUCCUCCCUGUAUCUCCAGGAGAAGGUUUUUGUCCAGCCAGCGGCCCCGCCUCUGGUACAGUCAGCAGCUCUCUCGUCUCCAGGCCAAAGGACCGAGCUCGCAGCCCAUCCAACAGAGCUCGCCGGUCUCCGAGCUGAACUGGUCCGAAUCCAUCAGAUCCUCAGUCUCCAGGAGUUCCAGCUGGACAAUCUAUCCUCCCUGCUUUUCCAGUUACCGGUUCCACCAGGUCCCGCGUUACCAGUCCAGUCAGCGCCAGGUCCCGCGCCACCAGUCCAGUCAGCGCCAGUUCCAGCGGUGGUCCAGGACGCUCCGCCCCUGGGCCAGUCUGUCCAAGAGGCUCCACCCCCAGGUCAGCCUGUCCAGUGGUCAGCGCCCAGUCCGGCGGCACCAGCCAAGGAAGCGGUCCCGACUGCAGCGGCUCCACCUCCACUCCAGAAGGCAGCGGCCCCUCGUGCAGCGGCUCCGCCUCCACUCCAGAAGUCUAAGCCUCCGGUCCAGAAGUUGACGCCUCCAGUCCAGAAGUUGAAGGUUCCGGUCCAGAAGUCGAAGGUUCCGGUCCAGAAGUCGACGGUCCAGGUCCAAAAGUCAGCGGUCCAGAAGUUGGUGGUCCAGAAGCCGGCGCCUCCGGACCAGAAGCCGACAGUCCAGGUCCAGAAGUCGGCGGUCCAAAAGUCGGCGGUCCAGAAGCCGGCACCUCCGGACCAGAAGCCGACAGAGGUCGACGCUCCUUCCCGUCCAGAGUUCGACGCUCUGGGGUCGACGCUCCUUCCCGUCCAGAGUUCGACGCUCCUUCCCGUCCAGAGGUCAACGCUCCUUCCCGUCCAGAGGUCAAUGCUCCUUCCCGUCCAGAGGUCGACGCUCCUUCCAGUCCAGAGGUCGACGCCCCUUCCAGUCCAGAGGUCGAUGCCCCUUCCAGUCCCGAGGACGACGCCCCUACCAGUCCCGAGGUCGACGCCCCCACCAGUCCCGAGGUUGACUCCCCCUCCAGUCCCGAGGUCGAUGGCCCCUCCAGUCCAGAGGUCGACACCCCUUCCAGUCCAGAGGUCGACAUCCCCUCCAGUCCAAAGUCUCCCCCUCCAGUCCAGAGGCCGAUGUCUCCUCCUUCAGUCCAGAGUCCGACGUCUCCCCCUCCAGUCCAGAGGCCGGCGUCUCUCCUUCCAGUCCAGAGGUAGACGCUCCUUCCAGUCCAGAGGUCGACGCUCCUUCCAGUCCAGAGGUCGACUCUCCUUCCAGUCCAGAGGUCGACGCUCCUUCCAGUCCAGAGGUCGACGCCCCUUCCAGUCCAGAGGUCGACGCCCCUUCCAGUCCCGAGGACGACGCCCCUACCAGUCCAGAGGUCGACGCCCCCACCAGUCCAGAGGUCGACGCCCCCUCCAGUCCCGAGGUCGAUGGCCCCUCCAGUCCAGAGGUCGACGCCCCCUCCAGUCCCGAGGUCGAUGGCCCCUCCAGUCCAGAGGUCGACGCCCCCUCCAGUCCAGAGGUCGACAUCCCCUCCAGUCCAAAGUCUCCCCCUCCAGUCCAGAGGCUGACGUCUCCUCCUUCAGUCCAGAGUCCGACGUCUCCCCCUCCAGUCCAGAGGCCGGCGUCUCUCCCUCCAGUCCAGUGGUCAACGUCCCCCCCUCCAGUCCAGUGGUCGACGUCUCCCCCUCCAGUCCAGUGGUCGACGUCUCCUCCUCCAGUCCAGUGGUCGACGUCUCCUCCUCCAGUCCAGUGGUCGACAUCUCCUCCUCCAGUCCAGUGGUCAACGUCUCCUCCUCCAGUCCAGUGGUCGACGCCAUCCCCAGACCAGUGGUCGACGCCGUCCCCAGUCCAGUGGUCGACGCCGUCCCAGUCCAGUGGUCGACGCCGUCCCCAGUCCAGUGGCCGACGCCGUCUCCAGUCCAGUGGUCGACUCCUCCUCCAGUCCAGUGGUCGACGCCUCCUCCUCCAGUCCAGUGGUCGACGCCGUCCCCAGUCCAGUGGUCGACGCCGUCCCCAGUCCAGUGGCCGACACCGUCUCCAGUCCAGUGGUCAACUCCUCCUCCAGUCCAGUGGUUGACUUCUCCUCCUCCAGUCCAGGGUUCGACGCCUCCUCCUCCAGUCCAGUGGUCGACGCCGUCCCCAGUCCAGUGGUCGACGCCGUCCCCAGUCCAGUGGUCGACGCCGUCCCCAGUCCAGUGGUCGACGCCGUCUCCAGUCCAGUGGUCGUCACCACCGCCUCCAGUCCAGAGGCCGUCUCCGCCGCCUCCAGUCCAGAGGCCGUCUCCGCCACCUCGGCUUUUAGGUGUACUGUUUCAGAAAGCCAAGAUACUUUUCAUGUGA